UGUUUUCUGUUGAUGACUAGAAUUUUCCGUUCAGUUACAGAGAUUUUCCAUUGCCCACACAGUGAAAGACAAACAUCCCCAACUGCAUGAUUCCCUUCAUUUUCAUACCUGCAGCCAUCUUUAGAUGAGAGAACAAGCCAAAGAACUCCAAACCAUCUUUAUCUCCUAAGAACUUCAUCCAUAGCAGCAGGUCAGCAGCGAGAGCCUGUUGAUAUGUAAUAUUCCCACUACGACAGAUUUUGCGAUUGAGAGGAAAAGUGACAGCUCUUACAUGUGCUAGGAGAGACCAGCAUCAAAAGACGACACACUCCUGUGCAGCUGCUUGUUGCCGACAUCCCUCACCCUUGUCUUCCAUCUCUUAAAACUGACAGAAAACAGAGAGGGUGAGGAAAAAGCCUGUUUGACUGUAGACAAGCCCUAGAGGCUGCUACUGAACGCUGUCUGGCAAACAAGAACAAACUGAUACAAAAGGUAAACCAGAGAAUCUGAAGGAGAAUGAGACAAGCUGUUGAUGUGUAUCCUUCUGUCAGGUGGUGGAGGAUCGGAUCUUGUGAUGUUCCCAACCUAAUAUGGCCAGGUCAGGACUAUCAGCUGAGAAUCAGGUGCUCGCUAAAUAUUUAGGAGGAUGAAGACUUUGUGCUGGGUGGAAGCACUCAUCAUAAGGUUCGGCUCAAGGCUGCCUGUGUCUUGUGUGGUGGAAUGGUGGAAUGUAACUAUGUACAAAUCCUGUGUUUAAGUGAAAUUUUAUAUACAUUUUAUACUUCUUAUCCAUUACACUUCAGAAGGAAAUAUUGUAUGUUUUUCUUCGCAGCAUUUGAAGGCUUUAAUUACUGUGUUUUUUUGUUUGUUUGUUUUUUAACAAAGAUUUUAAAGUAAAACAUGUCAUGAUCUUAAACAUGGCUGAUCACGAUUAAACUACUCAACAGUAUAUUAAAUUAUCUCAACCUUGAUAGCAUUAAAUGUUGCUUACAUGAACAUUCAUCCUCACAAAUAGUCAAACAACAUGUAUUAACAUUAUGAACAGUGUCAUUUUAAUAAUGAGUCCUUUUAGGUACUCAAAGUACUGUAAAACACUGUGUACUGCUCUGUACUUUUACCGAAGUAAAAUUUUGAAUGGGAGUAAGUAUUUUCUCACUGUGUCUUUUACUACUGCUGCUACUUUUACUAAAGUCAAAGAGCUAUAUAUAUACACUUCUUCCACUCUGUUUUCUCUCUCCUCAAACCACUUCGUGCUCGCUCUUUGUCUUCUUUGUGUCUUUUUUGUUUCACCGCUGUUUUCCUCUUUUCUGCAAAUGAUCGCAUCUAGGCAUCCUAGAGAUUUUGUGUAGGCAGAAAAUAUUCUGCGUAGGAAGAAAUAGUUUUAAAAACAAAGGCCUUCAGUUCUCUAGAAGUAUUUCAAAUGUCCUUUUAACCAUUUGUAAUGUUAGAGGUGAGAGGCAUGUUGCUUAUUUCUAAUCGUUCUCAUUGUUAAUAACUAAAGAUUUCUUUCACUGAGUAAUUUGUUGCUGAAAAGUUUUUUUUUUAUUUCACAG